ensembl:snoRNA small nucleolar RNA SNORA50
UUGCACUGUCUUUGAACCUGAUUGGUCCUUUCUGUGACCUCUGAGGCCAAGCUACAGUGCUAAAGUAAAUUUAAGCUUGUUCAUAACUGGGGCUUCCUGGCAAUACUCCCAGGCGGCUCUUUUAAAAACAAGCUACAUGA